UAGGGAAUCUUCGGCGAUGGACGAAAGUCUGACCGAGCAACGCCGCGUGAGUGAAGAAGGUUUUCGGAUCGUAAAACUCUGUUGUUAGAGAAGAACACGAGUGAGAGUAACUGUUCAUUCGAUGACGGUAUCUAACCAGCAAGUCACGGCUAACUACGUGCCAC
rnacentral:rRNA from 1 species